AGUGAACGCUGGCGGUAGGCCUAACACAUGCAAGUCGAACGGCAGCACAGUAAGAGCUUGCUCUUACGGGUGGCGAGUGGCGGACGGGUGAGGAAUACAUCGGAAUCUACUUUUUCGUGGGGGAUAACGUAGGGAAACUUACGCUAAUACCGCAUACGACCUACGGGUGAAAGCAGGGGAUCUUCGGACCUUGCGCGAUUGAAUGAGCCGAUGUCGGAUUAGCUAGUUGGCGGGGUAAAGGCCCACCAAGGCGACGAUCCGUAGCUGGUCUGAGAGGAUGAUCAGCCACAUUGGAACUGAGACACGGUCCAGACUCCUACGGGAGGCAGCAGUGGGGAAUAUUGGACAAUGGGCGCAAGCCUGAUCCAGCCAUACCGCGUGGGUGAAGAAGGCCUUCGGGUUGUAAAGCCCUUUUGUUGGGAAAGAAAAGCAGCAGGUUAAUACCCCGCUGUUCUGACGGUACCCAAAGAAUAAGCACCGGCUAACUUCG
rnacentral:rRNA from 1 species